UAGAAUAUUCUUCGCCAAAGAGGUGGGACGAACAUGUCAUGUUUACAUCAUUUUUCAUCUUUUUCUUUAUUUUAUUAUAGCUUUUUGAUCACGCACACAUGGUGCUUGACAAAAUUCCUAACUCAUGUAUAGGACGAAAUUCUGCAAUAUAUGUUUUGAACUUCAUGUAAGUUGUACAUUCACAUGCCAAUUUUUUUUUUCUUUUAGAUAUCAGUUUCUCUCUUGAAAUGUUAUUAAUGGUGUGCUAUUUUUUAGCAUGUCAAUCCAUAUUAAACAAAAUUUCAAAAGGUCGUAGUGUUUUGUGUUAUGUUGGCAUGUUAACACUUGUCACACACCAUCAGCUAUCUUCUAUUAUGAAAUUAUGUAUUCGUUCACUCUCCUUCUCGAGAACCACAUACUAUCAUCAGAAAACUAUAUUGAUAUGAUUUAUUGCUUGAAGAUGGAAUCAAUUACCCAACAUGUUGGUUCUGAGAUGGUAGUUAAGCAUUAUUUUCAAUAUCAUUCCUUCAUAGAACUUGACACUUGACUUGAACCUGAAGCUGCAAGUUUGCAAGAAGGGGAUAGUUGUAUACGACAGCUGUAAUCAGAAUGAAAAAAAGGUAAGUUCUUCAUGAGAAAUUGUUUAGACUAUCUACCAAAGGUCUGAAAUACCCCUGAUUCAAUUAGACUUGUCAAAUAGUUGAACUUGAAAGGCACUUUAUCCUUUGGGAUUUGGGUAUGCAUAAUGCAUGGUGAGUUAAUAGGGUUGCAUAAAUAGCUAUAAAAAAAUUACCAUUUUAGUGUGUUUUUCAAAUUGUUUCAAAAAAGAGUUCAAAAAACCUUUUAAUAAUGAUAAAAUAAGGAAAUUUUUCUUCUGUGGAAGUGAGUCAUGAGUUUGUGGAGACAGAAUAUUACAAUGAUCAUAGUGGUGUUGACAAGCAACAACACAUAGUAUAAGUUAUAAUUAUUUAAUAUAUUUCCCUUUUUAUAUAAAUAAAAAUGUCUCAUUAACUUUUCUACACUAUAAAAGGGGCAUAAAUGAAUCUAAAAUUCUUAUCCUUUUGCAAUUUAAGUGUAUCAACAGUGUAUAGUAAAAACCAAAAACUUUUGUCUCCAUUUUCCUUAUAGGCAAAUGGAAAUACGUGUAUUUUGAUUUACUGCACUUUCAAUUUCUCUAAUAUCAAGACAUUCUACCUAUAAAAUCUAGCAAUUAUAGCACUUUACUAUUGAGGUAGGCCGUGAAUUGGACAAUAUGCAUCAUGCUUCAUGCAAGGAGAAUCCAACCACUAAUGAGUGGACCCCAGCACCUACUGACAUGAAUUCUUGUCUCUGAUAAACAUCAAAGGAGCGAUAAUUGAAAUGGACUAUUUGCUUCAGAUGUUGAAAUCGAAUAGCAAGACAAGUAGAUGACAAACAAGUUUUGUGAAUUUAAGGUGUUUUAUAUUCCUAAAAAUGUAAAAUAUUAUCAAACAGUUUCCAAAAAUUGUCAAACCUUGUAUUUUCAUUGUAAAUACAAUAGAGGUUUUCCAGAA